rnacentral:rRNA from 1 species
CCUACGGGAGGCAGCAGUGGGGAAUCUUGCGCAAUGGGCGAAAGCCUGACGCAGCGACGCCGCGUGAGGGAUGAAGGCCUUCGGGUUGUAAACCUCUUUCAGCGGGGACGAAGCGAAAGUGACGUACCCGCAGAAGAAGCCCCGGCCAACUACCUGCCAGCAGCCGCGGUAAU